UACGUAGGGUGCGAGCGUUAAUCGGAAUUACUGGGCGUAAAGCGUGCGCAGGUGGUUUGUUAAGUCAGAUGUGAAAGCCCCGAGCUUAACUUGGGAACUGCGUUUGAAACUGGCAAGCUAGAGUCUGUCAGAGGGGGUAGAAUUCCACGUGUAGCAGUGAAAUGCGUAGAGAUGUGGAGGAAUACCAAUGGCGAAGGCAGCCCCCUGGGAUAAGACUGACGCGCAUGCACGAAAGCGUGGGGAGCAAACAGGAUUAGAUACCCUGGUAGUCCACGCCCUAAACGAUGUCAACUGGUUGUUAGGCAACUUGAUUGUUCAGUAACGAAGCUAACGCGAGAAGUUGACCGCCUGGGGAGUACGGUCGCAAGAUUAAAACUCAAAGGAAUUGACGGGGACCCGCACAAGCGGUGGAUGAUGUGGAUUAAUUCGAUGCAACGCGAAAAACCUUACCUACCCUUGACAUGUACGGAAGUCUGCUGAGAGGUGGAUGUGCCUGAAAGGGAACCGUAACACAGGUGCUGCAUGGCUGUCGUCAGCUCGUGUCGUGAGAUGUUGGGUUAAGUCCCGCAACGAGCGCAACCCUUGCUAUUAAUUGCCAUCAUUAAGUUGGGCGCUUUAAUAGGACUGCUGGUGAUAAACCGGAGGAAGGUGGGGAUGACGUCAAGUCCUCAUGGCCCUUAUGGGUAGGGCUUCACACGUCAUACAAUGGCCGGUACAGAGGGACGCCAACCCGCGAGGGGGAGCCAAUCUCAGAAAGCCGGUCGUAGUCCGGAUUGUUCUCUGCAACUCGAGAGCAUGAAGUCGGAAUCGCUAGUAAUCGCGGAUCAGCAUGUCGCGGUGAAUACGUUCCCGGGUCU
rnacentral:rRNA from 1 species